UUGAUUCGUAGCAAACCACCAACGCCGUCGCGGCCACUUGAGAUAAGCUUGCCGGCCGGAGGUCAUUGCCGCUUGUUGCCACGGCGGCGCGGAGGGCGCGAGUCCAGCAGCGCGGACGACCGCGUGGCGACGAGGGCGUGAGGCGCGGCCCUGCGCUAGUCGUCUUCGCCGACGCCGGCCGCUGGUGCGUCAAGGGCUCGAUGCCUCUGUGUUGUCGCAUGGCUGAGGGCAGCCGAUGCGUGCGCUGCAAUGACGAGGGCUACAGAUAGAUGGACGCCAAUGCCCUGUUCUUCAUUCACGAGGCGAGGUUGCCGCAUGGAAGCUCUUCUGCCGGGGUGAGGGCCACCGUUUUCCUCGCCCGAGGGCGUCGCCGCUACAGCCACCACGGCCGCUCAUGGUCCGCCCGCGCUGGAAGGUUGGAUGGCCUUGUCCUUGGCCGCUCCGGUGCCGCCACGCCCGAGAGCGUUGUCGUCAUAGACGACCGUAUCGACGAAGACCGUCGAUAUGGGCGCCGCCGUUGGCGGAGGGAGUCGCUGCAGAGGGUCGGAUGAGAGCCGUGGCCUUGGCCGCCGCCGCCGGGGAAGGGCUCUCCACGCUGGAAUCGCUCAGUCGGGAGCGUGCUGAUAAUGUGUGAUGAAUAGAAUUGUACCGAGAGAGACAAAGGAACAAAUGACUCGAACCACACUUUAUUGACGAUGAAUGAGCACUUAUAUACAA